AUGCAGCCGAGCGGUAGAGAUUCUUCGGAAUCUUGAGAGCGGCGUACGGGUGCGGAACACGUGUGCAACCUGCCUUUAUCAGGGGGAUAGCCUUUCGAAAGGAAGAUUAAUACCCCAUAAUAUAUUGAAUGGCAUCAUUUAAUAUUGAAAACUCCGGUGGAUAGAGAUGGGCACGCGCAAGAUUAGAUAGUUGGUGAGGUAACGGCUCACCAAGUCUACGAUCUUUAGGGGGCCUGAGAGGGUGAUCCCCCACACUGGUACUGAGACACGGACCAGACUCCUACGGGAGGCAGCAGUGAGGAAUAUUGGACAAUGGGUGCGAGCCUGAUCCAGCCAUCCCGCGUGAAGGACGACGGCCCUAUGGGUUGUAAACUUCUUUUGUAUAGGGAUAAACCUAGAUACGUGUAUCUAGCUGAAGGUACUAUACGAAUAAGCACCGGCUAACUCCGUGCCAGCAGCCGCGGUAAUACGGAGGGUGCAAGCGUUAUCCGGAUUUAUUGGGUUUAAAGGGUCCGUAGGCGGAUUUGUAAGUCAGUGGUGAAAUCUCACAGCUUAACUGUGAAACUGCCAUUGAUACUGCAAGUCUUGAGUGUUGUUGAAGUAGCUGGAAUAAGUAGUGUAGCGGUGAAAUGCAUAGAUAUUACUUAGAACACCAAUUGCGAAGGCAGGUUACUAAGCAACAACUGACGCUGAUGGACGAAAGCGUGGGGAGCGAACAGGAUUAGAUACCCUGGUAGUCCACGCCGUAAACGAUGCUAACUCGUUUUUGGAGCGCAAGCUUCAGAGACUAAGCGAAAGUGAUAAGUUAGCCACCUGGGGAGUACGAACGCAAGUUUGAAACUCAAAGGAAUUGACGGGGGCCCGCACAAGCGGUGGAUUAUGUGGUUUAAUUCGAUGAUACGCGAGGAACCUUACCAAGGCUUAAAUGGGAAAUGACAGGUUUAGAAAUAGACUUUUCUUCGGACAUUUUUCAAGGUGCUGCAUGGUUGUCGUCAGCUCGUGCCGUGAGGUGUUAGGUUAAGUCCUGCAACGAGCGCAACCCCUGUCACUAGUUGCCAUCAUUAAGUUGGGGACUCUAGUGAGACUGCCUACGCAAGUAGAGAGGAAGGUGGGGAUGACGUCAAAUCAUCACGGCCCUUACGCCUUGGGCCACACACGUAAUACAAUGGCCGGUACAGAGGGCAGCUACACUGCGAAGUGAUGCAAAUCUCGAAAGCCGGUCUCAGUUCGGAUUGGAGUCUGCAACUCGACUCUAUGAAGCUGGAAUCGCUAGUAAUCGCGCAUCAGCCAUGGCGCGGUGAAUACGUUCCCGGGCCUUGUACACACCGCCCGUCAAGCCAUGGAAGUCUGGGGUACCUGAAGUCGGUGACCGUAACAGGAGCUGCCU
rnacentral:rRNA from 1 species